rnacentral:rRNA from 1 species
AUGGAAUUGGAGGCCCCGGUGGUCGAAGCAGAUCCGGGGAGAAGGAUCACAAGAGGAGCAGGAGGCGGCGGCGGCGGCGGCGGCGAGGGGGAGGGCCCGGCUGGUCGAACCACCCUCCUGCCCUGCCCCAACUGCGACAUCCAGGUGGUGCACAAGCUGGCGCAGCUGCUGCUCCCGGGCCUGGCCGCGGCGUGCGUCGACAGCACCCUCGGGAGCCCCUCCUCCGCGCUCGCCGUCCAGCUGCGCGCGGAGCUGGUGCGCUACGUCGCGCACCGCAGCAGCAGCCCGCCCGAGGCGGAGGAGGAGGAGGAUCCGAUCGACCGCGAUGACCCGGCCGAGGCGCUGGCCGUCUUCCUGGACGACUUCGCGGGCAGCAAGAGGAGCGUCGCCGUCUCCAUCGCCGGCUGGCUGCCGUACCUGGGCGGCGGCGACGACGGCCGCGACGACCGGAUCGAGGACCUCGUCGAGGAGAUGGAGGCGAGCCGCUUCUGGCCGGUCGAGAGGCGGGAGGCCGUCGCGCGGGACCUCCUCCGCGGCCUGGACGACGGCGGCGGCCGGUUCUGCUGCCGCGACGAGCUGGAGACCCAUGAGGAGCUCGCCGACCACGUCGCCGCGCGCUGCCGAUUCAGGCCCGUGCGGUGCCGGAACCAGGCCCAGGGCUGCCGGGCCGAGGUCUCCGCCUGCCGCGCCGACGCGCACGACGAGGCGUGCGCCUUCAAGCUCCUCCCCUGCGAGCAGCGCUGCGGCCUCGCCGUCGCCCGGCGCCAGAUGGACCGGCACUGCGUCACCGUCUGCCCCAUGAAGCUCGCCAACUGCCCCUUCUACCAGCUCGGCUGCGAGUCCGCCUUCCCGGCCUGCAACCUCGGGUCGCACUGCGCCGAGUUCCUUCGGCCUCACCUCCGCCUGCUCCUUAGUCCCAGCAAGAUCGGCGCUGAUCGUCUGGAUCCGGAGGAGCGUCUUCUACGGCUGGAGAAGUAUGAUUCCGAUGGUGCAUUGGGCGAAGCUUUGGACGUGAGGUCUCUCACCAAAGCUCUUGCUGAGCUAGAGAAGAAGAUGGACGCUGAAGAUGGUUCCCCCGGUUACACCGGAGACGACAACAAACAGCUCUGCACUAGUUUCGUUCCCUGA